rnacentral:rRNA from 1 species
CAAAAACAUCGCCUCCUGACUAACCAUAAGAGGUCAAGCCUGCCCAGUGACAUUGUUCAACGGCCGCGGUAUCCUAACCGCGCGAAGGUAGCGUAAUCACUUGUUCUUUAAAUGAGGACUAGUAUGAACGGCUUCACGAAAGCUAUGCUGUCUCCUUUAUCCAAUCAGUAAAACUAAUCUCCCCGUGAAGAAGCGGGGGUGUAUCUAUAAGACGAGAAGACCCUAUGGAGCUUUAAACACUUUAAAACAUUUGAGUACCAUAUUAUCAGGUUCUGCAAAUUUCACUAAGCCCCUCAUUCUGCUUUAAGUUUUAGGUUGGGGUGACCCCGGAGAACAACCCACCCUCCACGUAGAAAGGACCUACCUUCUAAGCAAAAAGCCACAUCUUUAUGCAUCAACACAUUGACCUAAAUUGACCCAAUUAUUUGACCAACGAACCAAGUUACCCUAGGGAUAACAGCGCAAUCCGCCUUAAGAGCUCCUAUCGACAGGCGGGCUUACGACCUCGAUGUUGGAUCAGGGUAUCCUAGUGGUGCAGCAGCUACUGACG